rnacentral:tRNA from 1 species
AUUCUUAUAGUUUAAAUUAAAACAUUUUAUUUUCAUUAAAAAAAUGAUUAAUUAAUCUAUGAAUA